rnacentral:lncRNA from 1 species
GAUAAACUGUAACCUAGCUUAAUAGUCAGACAAAAUUGAAAACCUAAUUUAAUAGUAUGCACCUGUAACACCAGCUGAGCAUUGACCAAUCUCAGCAGCCAUACUUCAACCACUCAUAGACUGCUGAAUGUUCAAACUCCAUUCAAAUAAGGCAAACGCUGAGCUGUAACCAGUCUCACCGUUUCUGUACCUCACUUCCAAUUCCUGUACAUCACUUUACUUUUUUUUUGUCUAUAAAUUUGUUCUAACUAUGAGGCACCCCUGGAGUCUCUGUGGAUCUGUUGUGAUUCUGGAGGCUGCCCGAUUCACCAUUCAUUGUUCAAUUAAACUCUUUUCAAUUUAAUUCAACUGAAGUUUUUCUUUUAUCAGGUGGUGUCAGAAGCAGGAUCCGAAGUGAAGCUUCUAGCAACCCCAGGAAUGCUGAGUGAACACGCAAGGUACCUGCAGGACCCACUUGUGUCCGUUGAUCUCUCAGAGCAGUUCGGGAUCCUAGGCUGUAACCCUGACUUGGCAAGACCCAGACAGAUGAUGGAAGAGCAAUAGGAAGGAGGAAACCUGGGUCCUUGGAGCAGAGCAUCUCCUCCAAUUGCACAACUCACUGCUGGACUUACCUUCUCUUUUAUUCAAGUCAUUGUAAUUUCUGGCCUUAUUUUCUUUUUUAUGGAGUAAACUAGCUUUUGCCCAAAAACAGAAAGAAAAGCCCACUUCACCAAUUUAUUGGUAGGAAUGAAUGGAAGCAGCAUGAGGUCUUGCCUUAGAAGUACUGAUAGUUUAUUAGGGGAAAGACACAUGGGAACAGAAGAGAGAGCCAUAUGUCAUGGCUAAAAAGUGAGAAGACAGAUACCAUGACAGAUCCAGAGGGCACAGGGUCAGAGUAGGGUUGCUUAACUGAGACCCAGUGUCUCUCUCUCUUGUACAAUUCUGGGCAGACAUUGACAAAUUCAUGCUGCUUGGACUUUCUUUUUAUUACAUGGGCCUUUCAUUAGCACUAUUUCUUCAGGCAA